GACAGAGGGUGCAAACGUUGUUCGGAAUUACUGGGCGUAAAGCGAGUGUAGGCGGUUCGAUAAGUCGGAUGUGAAAGCCCCGGGCUCAACCCGGGAAGUGCACUCGAUACUGUCGAGCUAGAGUAUCGGAGAGGUGAGUGGAAUUCGAGUGUAGAGGUGAAAAUUCGUAGAUAUUCGGAAGAACAACCAGUGGCGAAGGCGAAG
rnacentral:rRNA from 1 species